rnacentral:sRNA from 1 species
GGUGGGGCCAUAAUGGGAGAUCGAAGUUUAACAUAGGAAUAUAUAGAGUAAAUCUUUAAAAAUCUUCUUCUCAGAAACUAAUCAGCCGGCAAAGCUGAAACUUGUGUGGAAGCAUCCUCAGGUAGUGUAGAUUCAAAAUUGUGAAAAUAUUAACCCCUGGUGGUAGGGUGGGGCCGCAAUGGGGGGUCGAAGUUUAACAUUUGAUUUUAUAGAGUAAAUCUUUAAAAAUCUUGUUCUCAGAAACUAAUCAGCCAGGGAAGCUGAAACUUGUGUGGAAGCAUCCUCAGGUAGUGUAGAUUUAUAUUUGUGAAAAUCAUAACACUGGGGGUAGGUUUGGGCCACAAUGGGAGGUCGAUGUUUUACAUAGGAAUAAACAGAGUAAAUCUUUAUAUCUUUAAAAAUCUUCUUUUCAGAAACUAAUCAGCCAGGAAAGCUGACACUUGUGUGAAAGCAUCCUGAGGUAGUGUAGAUUCAAAUUUGUGAAAAUCAUGAUCCCCAGGGGUAGGAUGGGGCCACAAUGGGGGUUAAAGUUUAACAAAAGAAUAUAUAGGGUAAAUCUUUAAAAAUCUUCUUGGAAACUAAUCAGCCAGAUGAUUCUUUAUAAUUGUUAAGACUUUGGCCCCACGAGAAGGUUCAGAGUUUGCUGUAUGUUUAUAUCCCAUAUAUAAACUAUUAUUAAUGAUCUUUUUGAGAACUGCAAUACUCAACAUAUGAUAUGACUAUAAAAUCAUCCUGUUAGAAAAGGGACUAAUGAUUAUAAACAUAAGAAUAUCCAGGGGAAAAUGAAUUUUAUUUAUAAAGGAUCUACAUGUAUUAUUGUACAUUGUCCAGAUAGUUUGUAUUAUGACUGCAUUAAGCUGAUUUUAUCAUACCUAUUGCUCUUCAGGUGAGCGAUGUGACCCAUAGGCCUCUUGUUUUGAUUUACCAUUUCUCAAUUUUUGCUUCAAAACAAACUUUAACGCAGGCUUAUCAGUUAUUUCUUAGUGAAAUAUUUCAUCGUUUUACUAUGUUUCAUAUACUUUAACUAUGAUGUUAAAAUUAUCGUCCAUAUUUUCUUUUAACUAAAAUGAAACUCAUUUUAAUAGUUCAAUCCUUCCUCUAGAAUCAAGUUUUCUUUAAUUCUUUUUAUAUUUCAAUAGCAAAUUACAUACAAACAAGGUUUUUUACUUCUUAUAGGAAAAAAAAUGGAAAGCUGUGCUCCAUCCAAACAACACGUACACUACAAGUCAUUUAAAUCUGGCUAAUGUUAUCAACAAUGAAUGGACUUUCUUUUCUCUAUUACUUCUAUACAUUAUUCCAUUAAAGGACACAUCGCAUGUUUCUAAUGUAUGGGACAUUUUACAUUGUUUGCCUUCCUUGUGUAUAUAUUAAUUACUUCUAACAGUUUGUUGGCUGUAUUUAAGCGGUAAUUAGCCAUAAUGUCAAGUCAUAGUGCCGAUCGUAUAAAAACUCAUUAAUUGGAUAGCGCGUCUUCUUCAAUCAGCUGAUUGUAAAACAAAUUAUAUGGUUAGCAUUAUCUUCUCUAUAUCUUUGACAUUUUGUUCACAAUGUACGUUGUCCUUUUGCCGUUGACUAAACUUAAUUUUAAAAGAAUCUUACUGUUUAGUCGUACAUGUUUGAGCCACCAGUAUGGAUCAUUUUUGUUUUGUCGUUCUUUGCUACUCAGAAUGUUCACUGUUGUAAAACCUCGGUGAACAAGAAUUUUGUUUCUUAGGCCGGAACUGGUCAAAACUUUCUAAGGUUCUUUACUACAUAUUACACUGUAAAAAUAUGUAUAUAGCAAGAAAAAAAGAUUAGUAUUAAUGAUUGUUAUUCAUGAAGGAUCCCAUCUCUGUUUUUCUAUCUUUUACGUAUAAUCUAAAUCAACAAACUUUAACUAUUUCUCGCGUAAACAUUCAAUAUUGACAACUCCUUGAAUUAUCCCACAACAAAUCAAAACUUAUAGAAAUCUCACAUAGCAUACUUAUAAUCUCUGCACAUGAAUGCAGAAACCAUUCAUACAAAAUCGACGCAUACAUGUAUGCAUAGUUUAACAAUAUCAAUAAGUUAACAGCUAAUGAAGCGAGGCGGUAUCCAACAUUUUGCGUCCUCUCGUGUUAUUUUCCUCCGAUGAUUUUGCGUUUUGUACACAGGCCCAUGUGCAUAAACUUUUAUUUUUCUCUAAAAAUAAAAACAAUUUGUUUAUGAAUCUUAAAUUUAAAAAAUACACCAUAUAAUUAAUAGUUUAUGCAUUAAAUGUUUAAUUUCAAAGCCUGUCGUCGACAGAUAGGCUCGUAUUUGUCGCAAGAAUUCUGCAUACUUUCGUAUGGGAA